CGGAGGAAAAGAAACCAACAGGGAUUGCCUCAGUAACGGCGAGUGAAGCGGCAACAGCUCAAAUUUGAAAUCUGGCCGCAAGGUCCGAGUUGUAAUUUGCAGAGGAUGCUUUUGGCGAGGUGCCUUCCGAGUUCCCUGGAACGGGACGCCAUAGAGGGUGAGAGCCCCGUACGGUAGGACCACCGAGCCUCUGUAAAGCUCCUUCGACGAGUCGAGUAGUUUGGGAAUGCUGCUCUAAAUGGGAGGUGUACGUCUUCUAAAGCUAAAUACCGGCCAGAGACCGAUAGCGCACAAGUAGAGUGAUCGAAAGAUGAAAAGCACUUUGAAAAGAGGGUUAAAAAGUACGUGAAAUUGUUGAAAGGGAAGCAUUCAUGACCAGACUUGGGCUUGGUUGAACAUCCGGCGUUCUCGCCGGUGCACUCUGCCAGUCCAGGCCAGCAUCAGUUUGCCCCGGGGGAUAAAGGCGGUGGGAAUGUGGCACCCUCCGGGGUGUGUUAUAGCCCGCCGUGUAAUGCCCUGGGGUGGACUGAGGAACGCGCUUCGGCACGGAUGCUGGCGUAAUGGUCAUCAAUGACCCGUCU
rnacentral:rRNA from 1 species